rnacentral:lncRNA from 1 species
AAGGCAGCGGCGGAGCCUCAGCGAGCACAGAAAAACCGUGGGGAGACAUGAGAGGGAAAAGUUGCAGCCGGGGAUGGGGUUGGAAAGGCAAGAAGAGAGUCUCAGGUGGGGAAGGGUAGGGGGAAGCUGGAGCAGGGAUCUGGGCUGGAGGAAGCAGAGCGGGCCUGGACUGGGGACGAGGGAGGAUGGAUAAACAUGGCAGUGGGAAGAACGUGGCCCCUGGGGCAGGAGGAGGCCAUCCAUUCACCCUGGUGACCUCGUUAAACUCCCUGCCUUAGACUCAGGACAAGCAGAUGGGCAGGAUUCAUUUGUGUCCUGGGGCCGCUGUGGGACGGAGCUUGUCACAAGGCCUUUAGACUUCAUGAAGCUUCCACUGGAGGCUCAGCACCGUUGGGAUCUGUAGGGAGCAUCUGAAAGGACCCAUGUGAAGGGGUGCUGAGAGUUACUGUCUGUGGGGAGCGGGCACAUCUUCGGGCCCUGAGCUGCCUGAGGACAGAGCAGAGGAAGUGGGCUCAGUCGGCACCACACACCGCAGGAGGGGUGGGACUCGUGUGCCAACUGGCCUGUGGCUGCCAGCAUCUGAAAGGUGGUUGGAACUCUUCUAGAGAUGAUGUCCAGAGAUCUGAGAUUCCAAACCUUUCAAGGAUGUGGAUUCCUACAAAGAGGAGAUGAGGAGAUCAAGGGCUUUGGUGAAGGUGGUAGUGGGGGGAGAGCGUGGGAGGGGGGAGCCCAGGGAGAGGGUGGCAGACAGGAAGAAGCUAGACAGACAGGAGGUGUCUCUCCCCUCCCUGCCCCCAUCACUGUCCCAAAUUGCCCAUCCCUUUCUGUUCAGCUCCCCUCUGCAUCGCUGGUCAGGCACCAGAAGGGUGGACACCACGGGCCAGUGGUGUGGAUGAGAGGGAGGGAAGGGUCAUGAGUUAGCCUCCUGUGCACUUUUAAACCCCCUGUUCUCACUUCCUGCCGGCGCAAAAAUAACCCUGCCCCUCUGACUUAUCUCAGCAAAGACUGGUGCCCAGCCCGGCUCAGAGGGCAAUGGGACAGGUCCCAGAGGGUCACUGAGGACAAAAAGAGCCUGGACCCCCCAUACACACAUGGGGAGCUGCAGAACAGGGACUCGGGGGUGGGAGGAAAGUGUGUGUGGGGGGGGGGCGUGGAGGCCCCUGCCCCUCUGACUUAUCUCAGCAAAGACUGGGUCAGGUGUGUGUGUGUGAUGUGUAUGUGUGUGAAGGUGGGGGCUGUGCCUGCUGUGUGUGUUUCCUCCCCCACCAGCUGCCCGUGCCUCUGUGAACAUGCAUGUGUGUUACAGGCUGCAUUACACAUGGAUUUAUAUGUUCUAGGGAAUCUUGGUGCACACCCCUCAGUUUACUGGCACCUCCACGCGGCCUUGCAUGCGCACGUGUGUGUAGUGAUGUGCUCAUGUGACUGCAGCCGCAGGCAGGCUGAGGUUACUGAGCCUGUGUGGGCCCCCAAGUCCCCCCUUCUCCCUGGUGAAAUGAAAUCCCAGUGUCCCCGCUUUUCUGGGGCAGCCACUAUAUCUUUGCUUUACAUUCCCCCCAACCCCUGCCCCCCAAACCUGACCUCUCGCUGGAGGCGGGAGAAAGGAGAGGGCCCUUCCGCCCCUCCCCCACGUCUAGAGCCCUCCUUCCAUUUCCUGUUUGCCUCCUUUUUGGCAGUUUUUCCCAUCUUUGCCAUCUGGCCUGGCACUGUGCCCAUUCAGCUCCACUGAUGGGGAGCCCCAGGGAAGCAAGCAGAUGGGGUGGGGACCAAGGCAGCGGCCCGGCAGCUCUCAAGGCUCAGCUUGGGCCAUUUUGCGUGGUCUGUGGGAAAGGGGUGGACACACAAACCCACAGGCUUCUCAGAAAUAGAGCGAUGGCCAUCUGCUCGCCUGAAGGUGCCUAAUUCUACCUCCUAAGUAGCAACUCACCUAAUACAUGUUGAUCUCUUUAACACUGUAAUUUUGUGAACCAAAGACCUGGGAUCUUGGGAAAUAAUCAUUUGUUCACUUGUUCAGGGGCUAGUAGGUGCCUCCUGGCUAUAAGGGGCUAUUGAUUCUCCAGAGAAUGGUUAAGAAUGAUAAAAAUGUUACUGUAACUCUAGCCUAAACUGUUAUUGAAGUUUUAAUGCCAGCUGUUUGCAAACAAUCCUUUUCAAAGGGAUGUGGCCUUUCCCUGAGUUAUACAUGGGGACAGGAGUGUGAUAAGAAGUGGUUGGCUGACUGGGGUGAUCCAAGAAAUAUCACAACAGGGUUAUAGGCUGGGUAGACCUGGGGCGGGAGGGGACAGAUUUCCUGCCAGGCAGCCAAUGGCUGUCCCCAGGCACUGCUAAAUAGAGACUGCAGUGUGAGUGCAAUUGGGAAGAAAGCAGUAGAAGGUGUGGUCUCCACCCCCAAACCUAGGACCCUACCAUCUAGAUGGGGAAAUGCGGUAAAUACACAUGACACAGACUGAGACGUUCAAACCAGCCAACUAAGUGCUUCGAUAGGUCAGGGAAAAUCAUCAGGAAGGGCGCAUUUCCAUGUGUGUGAAGGGAGAUGGGUGAGUGUUACUAGUGUUUGACGUGGGAGAAAGAAGGAAAUGGGGUCUAAAACGUAUACGUCCAAUUGGACAAAUGAGGAAGUAAAAACAGUUCACCUGUGGGCACAGAUUUCAGACAGGCAGCUAUAAAAGACAGGUGCUCCGUGCGGCAGGCAGCCUCACACCCCCACGCCCACUCUUGUUGGAAGCAACUUGGACUCUGGAACCAGGAUGUCCUGAGUCCUGACUUUACUCCUCACUGUCUGAGCUCUUGAGUAAAAAUCAGGAGCAGCAGCUACCUCGAAGGGCUGCUGGAAGGAUUAGAGCUUGUGCGGUACACAACACCCUGGGGAGUCCCUUGCUGCCCCAGCAGGUUAGGGAUGGGGCGUCAUCACUUCUGUGGCUCUGGUUACUGCUGUGGCCUGGGUUCAAGCCCUGGCCCAGGAACUUCUGCAUGCCACAGGUGGCCAAAAAAAUCCUGGGAAUUAGCAGAUGCAAACUAUUAUAUACAGCAUGGGUAAACAAAAAGUUCUAUUGUACAGCACAGGGAACUCUAAUCAAUAUCCUGUGAUAAACCACAAUGGAAAAGAAUAUAUAUGUGUGUAAUAUGUAUAUUUAUAAAUAUAUAUAUAUAUAUCUGAAUCCCUUUGCUGUACAGCAGAAAUUAACACAACAUUGUAAAUCAACUAUACUUCAAUAAAAUAAAUGAAAACCAAAAACACCCUGGAGUUCUCUUGUGGCAUGGCAGGGUAAGUUU